AAUAGAUACCCCGGUAGUCCACGCCGUAAACGAUGUCGAUUUGGAGGCUGUGUCCUUGAGACGUGGCUUCCGGAGCUAACGCGUUAAAUCGACCGCCUGGGGAGUACGGCCGCAAGGUUAAAACUCAAAUGAAUUGACGGGGGCCCGCACAAGCGGUGGAGCAUGUGGUUUAAUUCGAUGCAACGCGAAGAACCUUACCUGGCCUUGACAUGUCUGGAAUCCUGUAGAGAUACGGGAGUGCCUUCGGGAAUCAGAACACAGGUGCUGCAUGGCUGUCGUCAGCUCGUGUCGUGAGAUGUUGGGUUAAGUCCCGCAACGAGCGCAACCCUGUCCUUUGUUGCCAGCACGUAAUAGUGGGAACUCAAGGGAGACUGCCGGUGAUAAACCGGAGGAAGGUGGGGAUGACGUCAAGUCAUCAUGGCCCCUUACGGCCAGGGCUACACACGUGCUACAAUGGCGCGUACAGAGGGCUGCAAGCUAGCGAUAGUGAGCGAAUCCCAAAAAAGCGCGUCGUAGUCCGGAUCGGAGU
rnacentral:rRNA from 1 species